rnacentral:rRNA from 1 species
AUGGGCAUCUCUGACUGGUGGGACUCGCUCAUCGCCCCGCUCUCCAAGGAAGAUAGUCGACGCCGCAGUGGUCGCUUCCUCUACACCAUCUGGAAUAUAUGGAAGGAACGUAACUGUCGCAUCUUCAACGGGACCCGCCUAACUCAUGUGGAGGUGGCUGCCCUCGCGUUCGACGACAUAAGACAGAGGGCCAUGGCUUUCGGCAGGGCCCAAGUGGCGACCAGUAUUGGCUGA